rnacentral:rRNA from 1 species
GAUGAACGCUGGCGGCGUGCCUAAUACAUGCAAGUCGAGCGAACAGACGAGGAGCUUGCUCCUUUGACGUUAGCGGCGGACGGGUGAGUAACACGUGGAUAACCUACCUAUAAGACUGGGAUAACUUCGGGAAACCGGAGCUAAUACCGGAUAAUAUAUUGAACCGCAUGGUUCAAUAGUGAAAGACGGUUUUGCUGUCACUUAUAGAUGGAUCCGCGCCGCAUUAGCUAGUUGGUAAGGUAACGGCUUACCAAGGCAACGAUGCGUAGCCGACCUGAGAGGGUGGUCGGCCACACUGGAACUGAGACACGGUCCAGACUACUAAGGGAGGCAGCAGUAGGGAAUCUUCCGCAAUGGGCGAAAGCCUGACGGAGCAACGCCGCGUGAGUGAUGAAGGUCUUCGGAUCGUAAAACUCUGUUAUUAGGGAAGAACAAAUGUGUAAGUAACUAUGCACGUCUUGACGGUACCUAAUCAGAAAGCCACGGCUAACUACGUG